UCAACAAGGGCACUUUAUAAACAAAGGGAUUAUAUUAUCAACUGCACUAUAUCAAUGUUGCUGUGUGUAUUCAAGACAUUGAAGUGAUUCAUUGAAUUGGAAUUUCAAAUACUGGUAUUUGUCAAGGAAGUAAUGUAUGUAUACUUACCAAAUGCUUUUGAUAAACUGUGAAAGUUCAACUCCUGUUGCUUCGCUGAUAACUUCUUCUACAUGACCUUCCAUAGGAUCAAGAGAGGCAUUCAGUAAGCGAUCCAGUGGAUUUGCCUUGUGCUCAGCUGAGACGUCAACACUACAGUUGCCAUUUAGGAAAAGAAAAGUGGACUAUGUGUAAUGGACUCAAUCGAAGAGGCAAACCAUUUUCUGUGGGAAAGUUUUGUUCAAGAAACUGUUUCAAGCUUUCAGCUUUUUGCACUGCUUCUUGUAGAGUGGUCUCGUUGUCGAUCAGGAAGGUCAUACUGUGUAUUUGGCCCAGUUGUUCUUGCAAGAUCUUUCUCAGCCUUUUGGAACUUUUGUUUGAAGUAGUUUCAAACUUAACUGUUUCUUCGUGGGGUAUGUCGUGGAUAUAUUUUUUGUUAUCAGAAGACAACGAUUCUUGCAAAACAACGUCU